rnacentral:rRNA from 1 species
AACGAACGCUGGCGGCAGGCCUAACACAUGCAAGUCGAACGGACCCUUCGGGGUUAGUGGCGGACGGGUGAGUAACACGUGGGAACGUGCCCUUUGGUUCGGAACAACUCAGGGAAACUUGAGCUAAUACCGAAUGUGCCCUUCGGGGGAAAGAUUUAUCGCCAUUGGAGCGGCCCGCGUCUGAUUAGCUAGUUGGUGGGGUAAUGGCCUACCAAGGCGACGAUCAGUAGCUGGUCUGAGAGGAUGAUCAGCCACAUUGGGACUGAGACACGGCCCAAACUCCUACGGGAGGCGGCAGUGGGGAAUCUUGCGCAAUGGGCGAAAGCCUGACGCAGCCAUGCCGCGUGAAUGAUGAAGGUCUUAGGAUUGUAAAAUUCUUUCACCGGGGACGAUAAUGACGGUACCCGGAGAAGAAGCCCCGGCUAACUCUGUGCCCGCAGCCGCAGUAAGAC